CCCCAGCCCCUGUCCAGCUGUGGGAGGAGUGGGAGCGUGGCCUUCAGAACCCGAGCUCCUCUUCCUGUCCCUGCAGAGCCCCCGGGGGAUGUGAGCAGGAGCAAGCUGCUGAUGGGCGUCGGGGGCUUUGUGCUGGGGCUCGUCUACCUUGCACUGGGGAUCUUCUUCUUCCUGUGCAGUAAGAAAGUUUCAGGGCAACCUGAUCCAACCAGUCCAGGGAUCCUGAACUAGCAGCUGCCUCACGCGGCUGCUCCACCAGCAUGUCCAGCACUCCCCGGCCCCGAGCUUGAGUUUUCUUUGGGGUUGUCACCGUGUUCCCUGCUGCCACUGCAGAGCCUGCUCUGUCCCUUUCUCAAUAAGUACUCCCUGAGAUGUU